rnacentral:rRNA from 1 species
GAUGAACGCUAGCGACAGGCCUAACACAUGCAAGUCGAGGGGCAGCACGGUGUAGCAAUACACGGGUGGCGACCGGCGCACGGGUGAGUAACGCGUAUGCAACCUGCCUACUACAAGGGGAUAACCCGUUGAAAGACGGACUAAUACCCUAUAACACAGGGAAUCCGCAUGGAUAUAUUUGUUAAAGAUUUAUCGGUAGUAGAUGGGCAUGCGUUCCAUUAGCUUGUUGGUGAGGUAACGGCUCACCAAGGCAACGAUGGAUAGGGGAACUGAGAGGCUGAUCCCCCACACUGGAACUGAGACACGGUCCAGACUCCUACGGGAGGCAGCAGUGAGGAAUAUUGGUCAAUGGACGAGAGUCUGAACCAGCCAAGUCGCGUGAAGGAAGACGGCCCUACGGGUUGUAAACUUCUUUUGUAAGGGAAUAAAUAGUCUUACGCGCUAAGACGUUGCAGGUACCUUACGAAUAAGGAUCGGCUAACUCCGUG